UGAGACCUUUGGGUGGCCGCGGUUUUAUUUUAUAAUUCUGAGGAACUUCCGGGCUCCGUAGAGCACGAUGGCGGAUAACGUCCGCCCAGGGUAACCUGAGAGAUAGCGCAACAGAGAAUAGACCGCUCCAUAAUGCUUUGGAUUUUGGAGUAAGGGUGAAACGGCGGUGUAAGAGACCACCGGAUUGUUGGUAACAUCAAUCGCAUGGCAAGCCUCAUCGGGAGCAAGGUCAAGUAGAAUACAUUGAAGCUGCUCGCUUAAGUAUUCGGGUAGACUGCUAGAGCUUAAUGGCAACAUUAAGUCGAGAUGGAUGGUCACCCCUAGCGCAUAUAUGCUUUUGCCUAUAUGACUGCUAUCAAGCCGCUAGGACAGAACCCGGGGUAUAUAAGGUCUCACUUU
rnacentral:RNase_P_RNA from 1 species